rnacentral:snoRNA from 14 species
UGGACCAAUGACAACAGCUUGUCAUGAACAAAGGGUGGUGAUUCUUCCAUAAUCUGAUUCUGCGUACCUGAGGGUCAGG